rnacentral:rRNA from 1 species
UACGUAGGGACCGAGCGUUGUCCGGAUUCAUUGGGCGUAAAGAGCUCGUAGGCGGUGUGUCGCGUCGGCCGUGAAAACUUGCAGCUUAACUGUGGGCGUGCGGUCGAUACGGGCAUCACUGGAGUUCGGCAGGGGAGACUGGAAUUCCUGGUGUAGCGGUGAAAUGCGCAGAUAUCAGGAGGAACACCGGUGGCGAAGGCGGGUCUCUGGGCCGAUAACUGAC